rnacentral:misc_RNA from 1 species
AUAUAUCAACCUUCUCUUGUUGAGUUGUUUGGAUGUGGGGGUUUGCUGGCCUCUUUUAAAAGGUUUUUAGCUCCCCUGAAAUGCAUUAGCAGAAACAGCCCUGUUCAUUGGCGUGAUAACUAUCUAUGCUAUUGAAUGUGAAGGAAGGUUCAGCUUUCUAAUAGUCCCUUGGACAAAUUCAUCAUUA